rfam:Triticum aestivum genome assembly, contig: Triticum_aestivum_CS42_TGACv1_scaffold_023983_1AS
AGCGGGGUAGAGGAAUUGGUCAACUCAUCAGGCUCAUGACCUGAAGACUGCAGGUUCAAAUCCUGUCCCCACCU